CAUCAGACUGUUGCUACCAAUGUGAUCCGGAUUAUUCAAGGCUCUUCAUCACUAAAAUCCGUGAAAUUAUCCGGUUGUUGCUUCUUACCAUUAGUUGCACCAAUGCCGAAGUCCUUAAAUGUAAACACUCUGGACUUUGUUAAUACUACUGUUCAUGGCUGGAGAACUAUCUUCCACGUGCUAGAUAAUUGCCCGUCAUUGAAGCAUCUUUCAGUUGGGAAGUUGGAGGAGUCUGAUUGGGCACCACCAA